rnacentral:rRNA from 1 species
UAGGUAGGUGGCGAGCGUUGUCCGGAAUUACUGGGCGUAAAGGGUGCGUAGGCGGCUCCUUAAGUGAGGUGUGAAAUCCCUGGGCUCAACCCAGGAACUGCACUUCAAACUGGGGAGCUAGAGUGCAGGAGAGGAAAGCGGAAUUCCCGGUGUAGCGGUGAAAUGCGUAGAGAUCGGGAGGAACACCAGUGGCGAAGGCGGCUUUCUGGACUGUAACUGACGCUGAGGCACGAAAGCGUGGGGAGCAAACAGG